rnacentral:lncRNA from 1 species
UUUCUCCAUCCUAGUAAUCAAAUUUGAGCAAAAUCAAAUGGGGCUUUCUAUGAAAGUACCUUUUGUUGAUCUGAACGAGCUGGUAAUUUACAAAAUACCCUUCCUUUGUGAGGAAGGCUAAAGAAAAAAAGAAUCAGUAGCUUUUAAAGCUGGGCCUUAGUGGGACUCUAAAUGCAAUGAAAGCAGUCUGUGUUGAGAGACUGAAAUGCAUUUCAAAGCCAGGCCUGAUUCGGGGUACAAGGAAGAACAGACCUAUGUGCAUUUUGUAGGAAGAAAACUGUGAAUGGAAAAAGGAGAAGGGGAGAGAAACGGGGGAAAUCUGGAUAAUACAUUAAAGUAACCAUAAUUUUGGAGAUGCAUUCAUCUUAUUGAAAAUAUAUUUCCUCAUGGUUGUGAUUCCUCUUCACUCUUUUGAAUUUGGAAGGAUGGCAUACACAUCUGAAAAAUACCACUACUUCCUUCAUUGGACUGCAAGGUAUUUCUGUUUGGAAAAGUAAUGGAGUCCAGUCAACUUCAUUGAUCGCCAAGGACUGUCAAAAUUAUAAAACUUGCUGUGGAGCUCUGACAUGCCAGAAGCCGCUAGAAAAAGAAGUUUGACAUUCAGAAACUUAUCAAGAGGUUCUACUCUUUGGAUAGAGACCAAAAUCAUACUUUGAAAAAGCCUGACAGGUUUCUUCGGAAAAGUGGCCAUCCAUGGAAUGAAUGAAAUGUUCUCUUUCUAUUCCAAUCCAACUUAGAAAUAAUGUUUCAUUCAAGAUAAGGCUCGUGGCUUAGGAGAUUGUGACCUGGCUUGCAUCAUUCUAAGACUUCUAUCGUCUGUUUUCAAAACCCAAGGAGGACCUCCUUUUCUGUGUGAUAGUUCCUCAUGCUUUGCCAGCCACUGGGUCUUUAAGGAAGCUUGCCAAGAGUUCCCGGCUGGGAAGGACAGUUCGAGUUCAUCAUAGACAAUGAGCUGGCACCACAGUUUAAGUGACUCACCAACCUGGUUGCCCACUUCAAAAUGUCAAGAACCACACUAUCUAAUUGAAAGAACUGUGUUUUAGCAAAGUGUAAUUGGAUCGCCUGGCAAGAUCAUCUCAAACUAUGUCUCUGACCUUGCCUUUCAGUGGCUAUUUUGAGCACAAGAGGAGAAAGGAAAUGAUUCCUGAAUUAUAUCUUGUUUUUAAAAAUUAAGAUUAAUUAAUACUUGGUUUUAUGUUCAUUCCAUUGUAGGAACUUAGUGAUUAUUACAAAACAGUCAAAAUAGGUCAUAGCAAAAUGAACGUUUAAGAUUAGGUUAAAACAUUCCUCUGAAAUUUUAGUAUUCACUUUUGAAGUGUCAAUUACUAUAUUUCUGUAAUUUCUCAUUUUUUUCUUGGCUUAGAGUCAAGAUGAAAAAUGAUAUUUGAAUCAAAGACAUUGUUUUGUUAUAUAGCCACUCCUUUCUAAAAUGCAAAUCCACCCUCCCCUCACCAAUGCUUUAUUCUUUGUGCGCGCACACACACACACACACACACACACACACACACACACACACAGACAUACACAGAACCAGCACCCAAAUGGUAGAGGAGGUCCUUCCAAGACUUCUAGGACCUGGAUCAUGUAAGCAGUAGAUGAGAAAAUGAAGUAAGAGAUAUAGAGUAAUAACAAUAAAAGUCAAUGAUUUCAUUUUACAAAAAAGUCAUUGUGUAGUACUCAGAUAUUUUUAAGAGCAAGUAUUAUUAUGACUAAAGUAUAUUAUACUUCUAAAUUAUUAUGAUUCUCAUCUAAUUUCAAGCCACACAUAGGCGCCAUUUGAAAGCAUUUUGUGUUACAACCUAUCAACAAAAAUCAACUAAUAGUUUUAUAACGUGCAUAGGUUUACCCCAUGGGGAAUUAAAAUUUUUAUCUGCAAGUAUUUCUGUUGUUGUGAGACUUUAGGACAAGACAACAUUUGGUGUUAACAUAGAAGAAUAUUCUAUGGCUUUUUUAGCUUUAAAGUUCAUUACUCUAAAAUAAAGUACACGUGGUAUUUUUUUCUUCCUAGUGUUCUCUUAUUAUAUGUAGAGUAUUUUCGGUUGUUGUUUUUAACGUAUACAUUAUUUUUAUUAAGUCAUUUCAUAAAAGAUAAGAUAUAUACUAAUAGACCCUUGGUUUUCUCCUAAUUUAAUUAUUUCAAGUCAAGCAAAAUUGGGCAAUUUUCUUUCAGGAAAAAAAAAAUAUUGAGCAUGAUUUUGAGGUAAAACUGAUUAUUUACAGCAUCUUUUCUCUAAUAGGCUAACAUUUAUGAUGGAUCUUAUUUCAAAGUUGAUUAUUCUCAAAGAAAAGUGGAGAUAUUAGAAUUUCCGAGUAAAUUGCAUUGUUUUAAAAAGUACUUUAAUGCAUUGUUCACAUUGUUGCCAGCUAUUGACCAAAAAAGAGAAGAAGAAAAAAGAAAUAAAAAAAGCAGUAUCUGCUCCAAACGUCAAGUUUUGCAGUUUGAAAGACUUGUACAUUAUAAUUGUUUUUUUCUUUUUUGGAAAGCAGUAGUAAUUAAUACCAAAGGCAUAGACAAUUUAGGGCCAUAACCUCCCUUCCCCCCUCUCCACCUUUUUUUUUUUUUUUUUUUUUUUUUAACUUUAACCAUGAUAGGCAUCUCUGCAAGGUAGGUUUUAACAUAUUUUUUUCCUAAUUUUUUUCCCUCCAUUCAGUAAGAAGGAUAAGCUUUUAGAGUACCCAGUCACCGUGGUAACUGCCAAAAAAAUUCUCCUGAAGUUUGAAGAGGUCAGCUAGCAGGGUCAACAACCCUGGCCUCUCUCUGAGCUCGGUCUAGCAUGCCCCAGCCUGCGGUUGGAGUGUCAGGCCAGAUCUGACCCUGGGAGGUGGACCAUUCUGGCUCUGAUAUAAAUUUUUCGAGUCAGUUCAUGGCCUGGACUCUCCAGGUGGCCUCCAAAAUCGAUUUUGACCCCCUGACCCUGUCUCACGGAGGCAUAGCAUCCACCCUAAGUAAGGAUUUAGCCAGGAAUGACAGCUUUCCACUGAGUGUUAUUGGGGACAGUAUAAACAGUUUGGAAAGCAAGUAAGGAGGUGUGAGGGCUAGCAAUCAUUAAAAGCACAUUAAAAAACAAUUUUUAAAAAUCUUUAUUAGAGAAAGUUGUAAAUGCAUAUCUGUUACAGAAUUCCUGUGAUUUGUAGAGUUUUCUAGUCAGUUUUGAAUAUAAAUAGGUCACAUAUCUUUAUCUUUUUGCAUACUUUGUUACAAAUAUGCAAAUAAGAUAGGCAUACUUGCUACAAAAUAGGUACAGCAGGAAUGUAAUAUGUUCAGAAAAGGCAAACUGGUUAUUAAAACACAUUAACAGGUAAGGAGUUUCUAAUAUUUUAAAUACUAAAAUUUUACAUGUGUAUUUUGAAGUUUUUAAAAUGGAAAAAUAAAGAACCUUUAAAAAACCCAACAGUGUGGAAUAAAGAUAAACUUGUUGCACUCAAGGUACAUUUCUACUUUGUAAAGCAAGAAGCCAAUACACUCAGUUGGAUAAAAAUGAGAGAAAAAUUGUAAAUAUAGAGAGUUACAGCUUAUAGAGCUGAAGAGGAAUAAAACAAAAAAAAGUGUCUCUGAAUAACUUUAUGUAUUUUCAACAGUUUAAGAUAUCAGAAACUUGGAAAAUAAAUAUGAUAUAUAUAUAAAUCAUCA